GGAGAUAGCUGGUUCUCUCCGAAAUAGCUUUAGGGCUAGCCUCAAGUGAUGAUUAUUGGAGGUAGAGCACUGUUUGGACGAGGGGCCCCUCUCGGGUUACCGAAUUCAGACAAACUCCGAAUGCCAAAUAAUUUAACUUGGGAGUCAGAAUGUGGGUGAUAAGGUCCAUAUUCGAAAGGGAAACAGCCCAGACCACCAGCUAAGGUCCCAAAAUAUAUGUUAAGUGGAAAAGGAUGUGGCGUUGCCCAGACAACUAGGAUGUUGGCUUAGAAGCAGCCAUCAUUUAAAGAGUGCGUAAUAGCUCACUAGUCGAGUGACACUGCGCCGAAAAUGUACCGGGGCUAAACAUAU
rnacentral:rRNA from 1 species